AAAAAAAACCAGAAAACCUCCCAAAGUCGCCUGGUACGAGGAGACCGCCGCCCCGCCGGCUCGCCGCCGCAGUCUGGACUCUGGAGUCGCUACCCGCCUACCCCACUCCGGUGGGAUGGCGUGGCCGGUGCCCUCUCGCUCCCCGGCGUUCCGCCAUUCGCAAGGUUUUAUUUCUUUUAGGUGCAUUUGGAUCAGGGGCAUUCGGCUGAUAUUUUGCUACUUCCUCCAGUAUCGUGCCAUGAUAUUUUGAGCAGAGGAACUCCCUUCUGAAAGAGCCCCGGUGUGCUGUAUUUGGUGAAUUGACCAGAAUGAUGAUGGGAUUCAAGAGUAUUCCUCUCCAUGGCCUUGCCAAAGAUAAUUUUCCAGUUGGUGAUGACUGAUGGCUGAUGAGAUCUCCUGAUACGCUUUGCCUACUUGGUGGAGGGUUGAGACGCCAGCAAGUGAAGCAGCGAUAAAUAUUGGAGCCUUGCCUGUUUCCAUUAGUGCUUCAUUAAACUGUCUGUGGUUCAGUCCAAAUUAGGACCUUCAAUCUUUUAUUAUGAGGUGUUUGCCGUUGCCUCCCCCUCUUUGCAUUCUGCAAUAUUUUUUCUGCUUGUGUUUAAUGUUCUUUACCAUUGUUUAUUUUCUUCUAUCAUAAAAGUUUCUGGGAAUUACAUCUUCUAUCAAAUUCAAUCAAAUAUAAUUAUUUGCAGGGGAACAACAACAAUUAGCUUGUCUGUCUUUAUUUAAUUUUGAUAAAUACACUUCUGCUUCCCUAUUCAAUUAAAUGGUCAAACUUGUGGUCUGGCACUCUAGAUAUUUCUAGAUAUUACAACUGGAUAUUCCAUUAGUGCAAAAUAUUUUAUACCCAUAUUAAUUUAUUAACUAUUUGUACAUUCCCACAGGAAAGUUUCCCAGUAUAUCUUAAUUGUCAACCAUCUUCAAGUUGUGAAUUUAUGAUCUACAAAUAUAUGUUUUUUACUUUUUUUCUACAAAAUGGUUCUGAAGAGCAUACAUACAUUAGCAAAUACAUCAGCAUAGAUGAGCAGCAAUUAAAAUAGGGAGAAAAGGGACAAUUGACUCUUGCCUAACAGUAGAUGGGCUGAAUAACUUUUUUUUUGGGGGGGGGGGGAGAUACUUUCUGUUCUUCAUUAAUAUUUUUUUAAAGUUUAAGCGAAUUGAAUUGAUGAAAUGGCCUUUCCCAGUUUUGGUUUAUUUUUUUAGCAGACACAAACUGGCCUGAUGGUGAUGCGUAUUAACCACUCAAGCUAACAAUAUUAUCAUUCCUAGAAUAUACAUCUUCUGAUACCUUUGUUGUUUUAGUCGAAUUGCGCUAAAAGAAAAAAAAAUUUACCUCCUUUCACUAACUUUUCUUUUGAUAAUCAGUUAAGUUAAUUAGCAUACAUCUUGUGGAUUUACAUUCAGUAUAUCAUUGAGCCUGAUCCAAAUUCAUUGCAUAUUGCUUCUUACCUGUGAUAGUUGGCUCGAUUAAUUUGCGUUUUAGUGUUAAAAAUAGUUAAUUUCUCAACAAGAAUUGUACUUCGGAAGGAAUCUGGAACAAUUGUAUUUUUUUUCUUUAUGACUGUGCCAGAUGGAUAAGAGGUACCUUUACUUUGUAUUCCAUGGAAGUGCUGUAGUGCACUGUGAAAUUUACUAUGUUUAAAACUGCAUCCUGUUUUGGAAAUUGAGUCUCCAGCAUGUGCUUUGGAACUGUUUAAUAACUAUACCAUUUCUAGCUUUAUCAAAUUACAGUGUUAUGGAAGUUUAUCAAAUAUCACUUUGCAGAUGCUUAAAACAGGUCUACUUGUAUUCAGAUUUUUAUUGCAUGCAUGGACCUGUUGAAACGAACUUGAAUAGGAAGCGUUUAAUCGUUUUGACUCUGCUGUGUGGUAGUAGUAUCAAAAUGCAACAGCUAGCUAGGACCACCAGGCAAUGGUACUAAAACCUCCUUGUAGGGUCAUUACUCGAUCAUACACUUGCAGUCAUACUUUCCAAUGCUGUGCAACGGGUGGUUGGCUGGUCUGCAGCUGGUUGCUUGCAGAAAAUGCUGUGUCAGAUCUGACACCUCUUUUUUAAUGGAAGUAUCGCCGCGGAUAAAUCUAAUCAUCUAGAUACUAUACACAUCAAGAGGAGCCACACAAGGCAUUCUGACCCUAAGUCCCUAACUGAGCUAGUCCAUUUUUAUGUCUAUUGCCAAUUGCUUCUUUUGCCAUACUUUGGGAAGACUUGUAAGAAAAUUCAAGACUGUAUGUAUUUGCUAAGAAAAUAGUUUGACUUAAACUGUCCAGUCUGUCCUCUAAUAUUACUGUUUACUUCAAUGGUUUGAUUUCACCUUUUACAAGCUAAGAGUGUACAGUUUUCUUAAGCAUGUUAGGACUAAUUUCAUCAUUUAUCAAGGAGGCAAUGUCAUUAAUCCAUUUAUUGGCCUGUACAUCUAUUGUCAUUUCAGAGUUUUUAGGUAGAUCUAGCUGGUGAUGAUAGUGCCAACAAUAUCGCAGAGUAACUGAUUCAGUAGCUUUACAAUUACAAUCUAAUUAAGAUGACAUUGUCAUGAUGUGAACAGGAUUGAAGCAAAGCUGAGUUAGUGCUGAGGGACCAGUACAGCUAUCCUACUAGACAUAUUCAAUGCCUGCUUUUGCAACAUGGGAGGUCCUUAACCAGCUACCUUGGCACCACAAGGUGGCAAGGCAAAAACUGGCGUGACUUUUCCAAAAAUUUAAGAGCACUAGUCUCCAUCCUCCCCUAAAUUUUAUUAAGCGAACCUUAUAUGUCUAUUUUGUUCUGUAAGGAAUAUUGUCUUCCUUUUCAUAUCCAUAGUUUAUCUCAACUGUGUGGACUUCUUGUAACCUAUGUGAUAGGUUGAUAGAUUGUGACACAAACUAAGGAGCUAACAAACAUGCUAGCGCUAUUAAUUAAUAGAGGAGGAAAAGGCUAACUGGAGUAUGUUUAUUUUAAGCAUCCAAACUUAAUAGCGAGUUCACUACAUACCCAUCGCUUUUGGCAGUAGCUAUCACUGGACGUCACUAAGGUCUUAAUCAGAUGCUAAUAUUGUUGUGUACUAUAAAUAGUGAUCCAUUGUUGUUUUCAUCAACAUCCUAGACUCAGUCUAGUGUAUGUGUCAAUGGCAGCUAAUGUCCUCCUGUUGUUGUCCCGUUUAUUUUUUUGGCUGGCAAGAUCGUCCUUUAUGACUGACCAACUAACUGAAUUGGCCCACCUGCAUUGACUGCAUGCUUUACCAACCGAUAGAACCAACUGUGGAGAUGAUUCGCCCUUCAUUGCUCCUAUUUGUGUGUUGUGAAAUUAGGAAAGAGAGAAUAUGGGGACCAUGUUAUUUGUCAUCUGCUUCAGUCCUCUUGCUUUCUAGCUACCAUUUGAUAUUUAGAUAUGAUGUACUAGCGUUCAAUUUUGUUUCCAAGUUAAAAGGGAAGUGGUGAAGUUUUCUUUUGCGCUAAUAAUUCUGGAUUAACGUCACAACUCAAAGACAUGGUAGCUGAAGCUGACAUGAACUGAUUCUGCUUUUACUGUGUAUACUCCCCGCAGCCUGCCGUCUACUCUGUGGAUGAACAAUUGAAACAAUCAUAUGCAUUCUGGUGAGCUGUCACAAUUAAGUUGAUGGCUUCCUGUUAAUUGUGUAGACAUUGCAUUUAAUCAUCAAUUAAUCUACCAAACAUGCAAUCAGUGAUGUUUUUUGCCUGCCUUCCGCUGGUCAUUAUGGCUUGUGUGGUCGUAUGCUAACUUGGCAGCUUAUCAUUAAUCAUCUUUGUAUUAGGAUGCUUAUUAUUGAUGGUGAGGAAUAAUGCAUGCUAUUGUACGUUCGGUGAUUUGUUGUAAUCAAAUGAUAAUCCAUGUAUGGUGUUCACCUUUGUCACCUCAUGUUUCUGUACAAAUUUUGUGAACAUUAAUUUAGUCCAUUCGCUGAUUAUGCUCACAUGCUCUCAAUUGUUAUAUGUAUCUGAAACUGAGAUUCACGACCGAUAACAUCUAAGAAUAUAACCUUUCUUUUUUCACUACUGUUGCAUUAGAAUUAUUGCCAAAUUUCUCAUUGACGCACAUGCACUCAGUAAACAUUUUGCUUUGAGCUGAUUAAUGUAGUUGUGUGAAGUCUGUGCCAUUUGCUUGUUCCCUUGCAGUAUGUCUGCCUUGCCGAAAAGGUACGUGGCAUAAAUGCUCAAUGCCAUUUUCUUUAUUCUUGAGGAACUGCUAGCUAGACUAAUGCUCUAUGAUUUGAAAGGAUUACCCAAUAAAACACAUCUCAUUUUCCACAAGUAACUACUUCAUCAUAUCUAAUUGCAGAUGUUCCUUGAUGAGAAUCCGCAGCAGUACAAAUAUCAACUUCAUCAGAUUCCUGAAGUUCCUUUGAUGAAAACCCUCAGCAAGACAUCAGUAUGAAAGCAGAAGAAUGGAAGACAACAAUUACAAGCCUGAUAUUAUUGAUACAUAGCAAAGGGGUUUCACUAGUGACAGUGUGACUAUCAUGCCGGGGACUGCAUGCAUGCUCGUACAUACAACCAUGCAAUUUUCAGAUGACGAGGCUGCCUUCCCCAGCCUGCAGCAUCCCAUGUGAGUGCGAGACCGGGCUGCUCCUGCCCAGCAGCUCCUCGAUCAUCUGCAGCGCGAUCCUCUCCUCCUCGUCGUCCAUCAUUGCCGACGCCGACGGCGAGCCGUCCGUGGUCACCGUGGACGUGGAGGUCGGCGUGGCCGCCGCGCCGUCGCUGGGCGCCGGCUCCUCGCCGGACGACGAGGCGGCCGCUGCGGCGUCCUUGUUGAGCUGGACGGUCAUGACCCAGCUGGAGUCGGCGC